rnacentral:lncRNA from 1 species
GGCGCCACCGGCUGAUAAUGAAGUUGUCCAUGAGUUUCGGUUCUUCAAGGUGUACAAAGACAGCCGUGUCGAAUUAGUCUGGCCGGAAUGCCCCAAAGUCCCACCGUCCACUGACCUGAUUACUGGGGUUCAGUCCAAAGAUGUGAUGAUCUUAACUGAACCCCAAGUGUCUGUCCGUAUUUUCUUGCCGAAACUCAAAGCCCCUGACCAUAAACUCCCUCUCUUACUUUUCGUGCACGGUGGUGGCUUUGUAAUGUUUUCAGCCUCCGCUAUUCCCUACCACGUUUUAUGCAACAAAGUAGCAGCCGACGCUAACGUUAUUGUUGUCUCUGUUGAGUAUGGUCUCUUCCCUACCAGGCCGCUACCAGCAUGCUAUGAGGACUCGUGGGAAGCGCUCCAGUGGGUGGCUUCACAUGCUGAUGGGAGUGGAUCUGAGCCGUGGCUGAACAAUCAUGCUGAUUUUGGUAAAGUUUUUUUGGGGGAGACAGUGGUGGGGCUAACAUAUCACAUACUCUAACAUUCCGGGUCGGGUCAGUUGGGUUACCCGGAGUGAAGGUAGUUGGAAUGAUCAUGGUGCAUCCAUUUUUUGGUGGUACCGAGGAUGACAAGAUGUGGUUAUACAUGUGCCCUAGUAAUAGUGGGUUGGAUGAUCCCAGGCUGAAUCCGGGACUAGAAGAUCUUGCUAGGCUUGGCUGUGAGGGGGUGUUGAUCUUUGUGGCUGAGAAAGACAGCUUAAUUGGUGUAGGAAGGAACUAUUACGAGAAGUUGAAGAAGAGUGGAUGGAAGGGAAGCGUUGAAAUUGUUGAGAAUGAAGAUGAAGAGCAUUGCUUCUAUUUGCAUGAUCUCAAUUCAGAGAAGGCUGUUGAAUUACUGCAUAAGUUUGUUUCCUUUCUCAAACAAGACUAGAAUUCCCUGGUGAUUUAUUCCUUUCAUUUUUUCCUUUUUGUCUUUUUUAUAAUUAUUGGGAGGCAUCGUUGUUUUAUGACUAAACAAGGGUGAAUAAUCCUCUUCCAAUCCUAAUUCCUAAACCUUUGAAUAACCUUUGAAUUCCCUGCUGUUUUUAUUGUAUCGUGAGUUUUUUUCCAUCUUUAAUUUAAAUGAAAUCUUCAAAUAAGAUGUCAACAAUAGCAUGAAAUGGAAAUCAGUUGGUCCGCUUUGGCCGUCAACGGCUUAAAACACCUCAACAUGACCAUUAAAAAAAAAACCCAAUUUGUCACUAUACAAGCAAGGGCGUCAAGCUUGAGCAACGGAUGGUGAUUUUGAAUCCUUGACUUUGAGGUAGAGAUCUCAAAAAUAAAAUGGCAACCCUUCCGGCAAGUGUUUUUCUUUUCCUUGUUUUUUUUUUUUUAAAAAAAGAUCCAUGACACUUUGAGCCAGUUAUUCAUUCUUUAAGGCCGGGAGCCGGGAUUCAAAAAAAAAAAAAAACUCUAUAUAUAUAUAUAUAUAUGCGCGCACGCUUCUGUUGUACUAUUAUUUACUCAUUAAAAAAACAUGUACAGAUCACGUUUUCCCUUAUAAUUGUUUGUUUUCAUUACUUGCUUAGUAGCAUAGCACUUUCCCUCAUGCUACUUUGAUUUAAUCUUUUACAUCUCAAUCCAACAGUAGCUCUUACUUCUUUUAAGCUCGAUGGAACAAAUUAUUUAGGAUGACAAUCUCAGUUUCUGCUAUUCUUUAAGAGCAAUGAUCUUCUAGGGUUCGUGAAGGUAUCUGAACCUAUCCUUGAGAAGAUAUCAUUUUAACAUGAACCAAUAAUUCAGAAAUUAAAGACUUCAUCAAACAAUUACAAAGUACCUUUUAAGUCAGACAUCUUGAAACUCUUUCCUAUUUCCUUGGUAUUCAAGCUUCUCUUAAUAUAGAGGGACUUCAUCUCAAACAAUCAAAAUACAUCUUUGAUCUACUUGACAAGACACAAAUGAUUGCAGCUAGACCUUUAUUUACACCAACAGCUUUAGGACCCAAACUGUCAGCCCAUGAAGGAGAAUUAUUGAAUGAUCCAACUGAAUAUCACCAAGUUAUUGGUGCCCUUCAAUAUUGCACUUUAACAAGACCUGACAUCAGCUAUACAGUGAACCAAUUGUGCCAAUUCAUGCAUGCUUCACAAGAACCACACUGGAUUGCAACCAAAAGGGUUCUACAUUACUUGAAAGGAACAAUUGAUUGUGGUAUUCACCACACUCAAUCCAUAACAACAUUAGAUGCUUUCUGUGAUGCAGAUUGAGCUGAACUCCUGAUAAUAGAAAAUGUACAAGUGGUUAUAUUGUGUUUCUAGGCCAAAAUCUCAUAUCCUAGAGUGCAAAGAAACAAAGUGUUGUGUCUAAAUCUAGCACUAAGGUUGAAUAUUGAUCUAUGGCUCUUGUCAUUGCUGAACUAUAUUGGCUUUAAAUGUUAUUGCGAUAUCUUGGCAUUUCAAUGUCAUCACCUCCUACACUAUGGUGUGAUGAUGCAGGUCCGAUAUAUCUUGCCUCUAAUUCUAUUUUUCAUGCCAAAAUCAAGCACAUAGAGGUGGAUGAUCACUUCAUCCAUGAAAUAGUUCUUAAUAAAGAUAUCCUGGUACGACAUAUUUCAACACAUGAUCAGAUUGCAAAUGUCUUUAUCGAAGGUCAUACUACAACAAGGUUUAUGUUUUUACGGGCCAAAUUGAUGGUGAUUCUUAUCCCUAUUGUCGCAUGUGUGCGGCGAUCGCCCACCACCCUCAUCAGGUGCGGUAUGCCUAUCUUCGCAAAUAUGGGAAGAUAAGAGAUUCUUGUCUUUUAUCAGCGGAAAAAUGGAAUGGGAGUUGCCACCUAGUAUUACCCUAACGGUCUCAGAGAUCGGGUAUGGAGACUAGUUGUGUAAAGGAAAGGUAUUAGCACCCCAAAUACGCCCUACCUAAGGUAAGCUGCAUUGUUUAAUUGUCUGAUAAAAAUCUAAGGUCUUGUCAUGUUUUUUUUUUCUUAAUUGUUGGUUUGUCUAUAGUUUAAGAAAAACCCUCCUCAGUAAUGAGGUUCUUAUCUUAUGAGGGAAAACCUAAGCGUUCUAAUGUCUAUAAAAGAACUAUAUUUUUAAUAUCGGAAAUACGUUUUACAUAUAAAUUCGUAAUCCCAAACAUUAAAACAAAAAAAAUAUUUUUGAUUUUUUUAAAAAAUAUUAGCCGAAUUCUCGUAACUUUAAUAAACUGGUUAUUAAAGCCAAAAUGCAUGCUAAAAUAUAUUUAUUUUUGAAGUUUUCUUUGUUAUAUGAAAAUACAAUAUGAUGUUUCUUUUAAGUUUUUAGAGACUGGGUUGUAUGCAUGAAAACCAAAAUAUAUUUUUUUUGUUUUAUAAAUUUUUUGCAAUGUUUUGACAAAAACCGAGUAUUUUUAUCUUUACGGUAUAAAAAUACAAACCAAUAUAAAGCAAAGUUCUGUAACAAAACACGCGGAAAAAUCACAAAUUUUUCUGAAAAUAUUUUUUUGAAUAUGUUUGAAACUAGGCCGGACCCGACCUAAAAACAAUUCUAGGCCGAAUCCCUUUUGUUCUUGCAUAAACAAUAGGCGUGAAUUAUAAUUCACGCCCACUGUUCAUGCAUGAACAGAAGGCGUGAAUUAAUUCACGCCUACUGUUCACGUAGUGAAUAGCGGGGAAGAAGAAGAAGAGGGGAGGAAGGCUGAUCUGCGAUGGCGAUGGUCUGGACGGCAUGAAGGGCAGCGUGGUCCAAGCGGUGCCUACGGUGGCGGCUGGUGGUGGCUUCGAUAGGAAGAGGAAGAAAGGAGAAGAAAUCUGCAAAGGUUGACGAUGGUGACAGUCGCGGUGGCUGAUCCGCCUCUUAUGAAGAUCUGGGUUGGUGGAUAUGGAGGUGGACAGAUCAGUGGGGGUGGUGGUUGUGGCAGGAGGGCGCAAUGGAGAGAGAAAGGGAAGAGAAAAAAAGUGGGCUGCAUAGAGGAGAGGGAGGCCGAUGGUGGCUCUAGGUGGCGACCAACGGUUGUGUUAGCUUCCUGUUAUGGAUAUGGAGGCUUACGGGCUAAUGACAGCGUGGUUUUGCUCUGAAAUGGUAGAGAAAGAAAGAGAAGGAGGGUGAAGGUGGCAUACCGGGUUAGGGAGGCUUGUUUUUUUGCUGUAUUUCAACCCAAAUUUAUCCACCCUUGGGUCAUGAAGUUCAAAUAUAUUUGUAGGCAGUGGAAGAGGGACACAUUUUAUCUUAUGGUACAAAAUCUCAGCUCUUGGUUCGAUCGGAAAGCAUCCCAACCAUUUGCUCAAAAUAGCAAUCAUGAACUGUCAAUUUUGCAGAAAAAAUGGUUGGUCGGGUUGGGCAUUUUAGGGCGGUGCCACCGCCUUUGCAGCCUUGAUCAGCCCGAACGACUUACACUAGCGUGUAGUCAGGUAUCACAAUAUCCUUUGCGUGUACAUUUCAUCCAAUUUGAUGACGAAACGACGUGCCAAAUGCCUUGGGAAGGUGGCCACCCAACCAGCCUCGCUGGAGAAGAAGAUGAAUAGUACCUUACGAUUUAGUCCUUUAAUUUGUGAUUUAUUUCUAUUUACACCCCUGAUUGGCUUCAAACUUUUAAUUUUGUUCAAUUUUACCCAUGAAGAACUUCAAUUUCAACCCCAGAUUUCAGUGCAUUUUCCCUUUGGUCCUUGGUUUCGGAUUUAUACAAUUUGACCCUUGAUUGAUCAAUAAACUUCCAAUUUAUUCAAUUUGACCAUUUAUUUGGUCAAUUUCAGUCCCUUUAUUUACGCACCUUUUUCAAUUUGGUUCUUGGUUUUGGAUUUCUUCAAUCAAAUCCCUAAUUAGCCAUCAAACUUCAAUAUCUAUGCAAUUAAACCCCUGAUUUGACCAAAUCAACUCUCAAAAAUUCUACUUUGACCCCAUAACCUUAAUUUCUUCCAAUUAAAGCCUAAAUUGACUUAAAAAUCAAUUUUUCUUGUAAUCAAACCCUAUAUAAAUUCAAUUAAAUCUCCAAUAAAAUUUAAUUGAGUCCAUAAACAUCUGAUUUUGGAAUUUUUUCCUCGAAUUUGAAUUUUUCUUUGUCAACAGGGCUCUUCAUCUAUAAAAAAUAUACAAUCAAAUUUUAAUCUUUGAAUUUUGGAGCCUCCUCAACCAACUUCUAGCCAUUUUAUGGGAGCUCUGAUAUCCUUUUCUUAUUGUUAUUAUUUGUUUUUGGAUUUUUUUUGUUUUUUAGUUUGAAUAUUUUUUUGAUUUUUUGAAAGAGAAAAAGUGAAUUUGAGAAAUAAUCUAAAAAUGGGUUAUGACACCUAUCAUUUUGCAGGGGAAUGCUAAACAUAAAAAGAUAGCAAACAUUGAAGAUCAAGAAGAGAGUUACAUUUACAAAGAUUCAAAAUUGGUAUUUAUUACAUCUCCAGCUAGAUAACAGACAUCUGAAGACCAAGAAGAUAUUUCAAAAAGAGAGUUACAGUUACAAAGAUUUAAACUUUGUAACUGUUACAUCUCCAGCUAGCUCCUUCUCAUUUAUUUAUAACCGAAGCUCCAGCUAACUCUUGUUUAUGAUGGAUAUUCUACUACAUUGAUGAACCUGCACUAAUUAUGAUUUUAAAUUUGAAAUUAUAUUUGUAAUAAUAUUUCAUAAAUGAUUAGUUGAGAAUAUAUAUAGACACACACAUAGAUACACAGCUAUUAUUUACUUCUUAAAAAAAUAUGUACAGAUCACGGUUUUCUUAUAAUUAUUUGUUUUCAUUCCUUUCUGGAUCCACCCUUUCCUCGGCCGUGGUGAAGAAGAUUCAUCUAGUUCUCCGUGCUUGCCUAUCUCAGCAGGAAUCCUCUUUCAAAGCUUCAAAAACCUCUUAAGAAAAGAAAGUGUGAAUUGAAAUACAAGUUCCAUUCUCAGGAUGGCUUUAACAGACGCUAUAAUAACAACGGGCACCAAUUAGCCAUGGCCUGCAGACCAGUACCGUUUUUAUCCAUCAACAGAAAAUGAAAAGGAACAAGUUCUUAUUACAGCUGGUAGUCACGUCAAGAUAGCCUAAUUAACGUAAUUUUAAUUAACCACCUAUUGAUCACUGCUUUACACUCCACUGAUUAAUUUUUCGUUGGAUGAAUGGUUGGGAUUCGAGCUGUUAUUGAUUAGGUAAUCAAAUCUCGUACACCUUCUAAACGAAGACUCUUCCUAACUUCUCAUAGUGUAUAUAUAAUUCUUAUUUUUUGCUGAUAGUGUAUGUGCUUUUAAUUUUUUUUGCUGAAAAAUUGUACAAAUGAAGAAAAACUCAGAUUACUCAAUCUCCUACUCUUUCUCAUAACCACACAAACUUCCACUAGUAAUUGUAAAAGGUAAUAAUAAUAAUAAUAAUUAAAAAACAUAACCAUAGUUAUAAGUGUUGUCUCCCGGUGAUCCAUUCAAGAUAUAUAGAAUGUGUUUGGUAUUGCGGUAGCUGUUGUGGUUGUAGUUUUAAAAAAAUUAUUUUAUAAAAAGUACUUUUAGUUGAGGUUGGUUUGAAAAAAUAGGUGUUUGGUUAAAACUGUGGUUAAAAUUGAGGUUAAAAAAAGAGUAGUUUAAUGUGUUUGGUUAAGAAUGCUUUUCAAAUUGAGAUUAUAAAAUAAUUUUAAAAAAUAUAUAUUAAUAUUGAUGGUUUUAAAUUUAAAUAUUGUAAAAUUAAUUACUCCUAUUACAUCAUGAAAAAAAUAAUAUUUUAUAUAAAAUAUUUUUUUAUUAUUCCAUUAAACUAUUUAUAAUUCCAUUACGUACAAAAUUCAUUCGAUAAAAACUAUAAAAUUGAUAUUAUUGUGCGAGUGAAUUUAAUUCACUUUAUACUAGUUUUUCGAGAAAAAAAAUAUUGUUUUGUCAAUGAAUUUAACUCUCUAAACUAUUUUUUUUUUAAAUUAAUACAAUUAAAAAAAAAACCGUGAACAAUAUUUUUUAUAACGUGCAGAGAAUGAACAGUGCAGUGAAAAGCAUGUUUUCGUUGCUUUUCCUUUUCAGCGUUUUAAACGCAAAAAUUGUGUGGGUCCCAUGAACAGUGAAUUGCUUUUUUGUAUUACCAAACGGUUGCGUGCUGCGUUUUAAAUAAAAUGCAGCCGCAGCCGCGUAGACAAACGGAGUCAUAUACUCUCUAGUACAGGAGAAUUUUCGGUCAUUAAGGCCAUGUUUGUUUCCUGGAAAGUAGUUUCUGGGAAACCAUUUUCCAAACUUUCCUGUAUUUGUUUGUCAUUAGAAAAGUUGGUCAACGGAAAACACUUUCUAGUCAAUGGAAAAUACUUUCUAGUCAACAAAAAUACUUUCCAGUCAAUUUCAGUCAAAGAAAAAUUUGACUUGGUUUUCAGUAAAGUGUUUUUCCUUUAGCUGUGUUUGUUUUCCGGAAAGUGGUUUCCGGCAAAUCACUUUCCAAACUUUCUUGUGUUUGUUUGUCAGUAGAAAAGUUAGUCAAUGGAAAACACUUUCCAGUAAAAGAAAAAUUUGGCUUGGUUUUCAGGAAAGUGUUUUCCUGAAAAAUUUGGGGGGAAAACACUUUCUGGAAGUUGUGAAAAAAUUAGAAAUGUCAUUAUUUGCUGAUUAUAUUAAAUUUAAUCCUCAAACUUUUGAUUGGUAUAUAUAUUUUGUUUUGAAUAUUUAUUUUUCAAUUUCAUCUCUUAAAAUUUUAUUUUUAUAUUAACUUUGGUCCUUGUUUUUAUAGUUGCUAUUUACUUUUUUCUUAUCAUAUUUUUAUUAAAAAAAUUUAUCUAUCAAAUUUGGUCCUCAUUCUUUUGAUUGUUACUUAUUUUAUUUGAAAUAAUUUAUGAAAUGUUGAUUAUUAUUAUUUUAAUUUCUUCAUCUUUCAUUUUUUAAAAAAAAAAUUUAGAUUUGAUCUCUAUUAUUUUGAUUAUUAUUUAUUUUAUUUGAGAUAAUUUAUGAAAUUAUAUAUUUUUUUUCAAUUUCAUUCUCAUUCAACCUUUUAAUUUGUAAGAUUUGUUCCUCAUUAUUUUAAUAAGCUAUGUAUGAAUAUAGGAUAUAAUAAAAAAAAUUCAUCAUUAUAAAUACUUUUUAGAUUUCAUUUUUUUUUAUUGUAAGUGAUUAAAUAUUUUAUAUUAAAUAUUUUUUAUAUAUUAGAUAAACUUGAAAAAAAAAAUUAAUUCAUUAAUAAAUAAUUUUCCAGUUCAUUUUCCAUAACACAACCAAACAUUGGAAAGUGUUUUCCAGUUCAUUUCCCAUAACACUGCCAAACAUCGGAAAAUACUUUCCCCUGGAAUUCACUUUCCAAAAGGAAACCACUUUCCUGCAAACAAACAGAGCCUAAGUGAGGAAUGGAAAAACUUUGUCGUCGCAUAGUGAUAUUGUCAGUUAUUCGGCCCAAAGUUAGAAAACAAACUUGGACUGAUUCCGACUGAUUCCGUGAAAGGAUACUGUUAAGACUAAAUUAAUUAAAAGGAUACUAAAUUAAAUGAUUUGAAAACGAUAAAAUAACAAUUAAUUUUUUUUAAUUAAUAUGAGUGUUCGGUUAUAUUGCGUAUAUCUCAACUAAUUUUAUGAAUUUUAAAAUUAAUAAUUAUAUAAAACUUAAUAGUUUUGAAGUUCGUGAAACUUCGAUAAUCUAGGGAGUAAAUUUAAGAGGGAUAGUGCCAAUCAAGGUUGUUAAAAUCGUGAUUUUGACACGGUACGAAAAGUACUAAACAAACUCGGAUCGUAAAAUCGUAAGGAAUUUUAAAAUACAUCAAAAAAAAUUCAUGCUUCAAAUAAAAAUUCAUAGCACAUUAAAAUACAUGCUUCAAAUAAAAAUCCAUAUAUAGUUCAAGCACCUUAAAAUACAUGCUUCAAAUAAAAAUUCAUACAUAAUUUAAAUAAUUUUUCAUUAGCUAAUAAUUAACAAAUUUAAAACAAAUAAUCUGCUGGUGUGUCAUGUAAACUAAAACCAGCUUUAUUGCCUUCAUCUUCCUCAUUAUUCCUCAGACAUUCAUCAAUAUCAUUAGCAUUAAGAGGAUUAUUAGUGUCACUACUAGUACCAACACCAAUAUUAUGAGCAUUAGUGCUGCUACUAGUACCAACACCAAUAUCAUCAAUUUGAAUCUCAAAAUCGUCUUUAGUACCAUGAUUUUCAUUUCAGCAUCAUUAGGAAUUUCUUCUUCAUCACUUUCAUCUUCAUUACCAUUUUGUCUUCGUGUUGCACUAUCAAUAGCACCAAGCAAAUCAAUGUUUGAAUGUUUUUCUCCCUCGGUUAUCCAAUCAUCAUUAGAUGAAAGAUCAUCUUCUACACCAAAAUCAUCAGCUUGCUUUUUAACUUGAUUAUUAUUCAAUUUCAAAUUGCACAUUACAAAUACCAAGUCAUUCAUUUUUCUCUGGUGCAAACGAUUUCAUCGUUUUGUAUGAACCUAAAUAAACAAUUCAAAUUUAUAAGAUUUUUAUCAAAUAAUUUCAACAUUUAAAAUAAUAAAAUAAAAAAACUUACCAUUUCAAAUGCACUCUAAUUACGCUCACAUCCAGAUGGAGUACAAGUCAAACUUAGAACUCGGAUUGCAAACCUUUGUAAUUCUGGACAUUCAUCCCCAUAAGAAUCCCACCAUUGAGCUGGAGUUUUUUUUUUUUAUCUCUAGCUGUCUUGGCAGCCUCAAUGCCAAACAACCCUUUUGCAUCCUUAAAUGAUUUAAGUUGCAAGUUAAUUUUACACCUUUCACUUGCAUUAGGCACCAUCCUUUCUAAGCAUUGAUAUAAUCCAAUUUAAAUGUUGGCAUUAACCUUAAAAUUAGGAUUAUAAUGAUAAUGAGAAUUCAAAUAAUAAGCUGCUGCAUGUAAGGGUCUAUGGAGUUGAAGUUCUCAUCUUGCAUCAACAAUAUUCCAUAUAGGUAUAUAACUAUAUAUAUAAAAAAUAUCAUUACUUUAUAUAUGACAUUCAUAUUCAUAAAUGACAAUAUUUGAAAUAAAAAUUAGCAAGAUAUAUGCCUUUUUUUUCACAUAACCAAAAUUCACUUGUAUCUUCUAUUUUGCUUCAUCCAUUGCUUUAUAUAUAAAACCCAUAGCUGGUUUCUCACCAAAAUCAACUAAUCGAAGAACUUUAAAUAGAGGAAACGCUGCCUUAAUACAUAUAGUAACAUCAUGCCAAAACUUGUUGUCCAAAACACAAUUUGAAUUGAUUUCCCUUCUUCUAUUCUUGCAAACCUAUAUGAACUCCACUGUUUACAAGUAAACAUGGUCAUCAACUGCAUUUUAUGAUCAUUCAAACAUCCCAAAGUCAAAUAUUCAGUUGCAAACCGAGUGGCAGCAGGCCUAAUCAAAUCCCUUCCUUUCGUAAAGUGCCUUAGCAUGGAAAUAAGAAUAGUUCUUGAAUAAAUAUAUGAGGUGAUUCUCCUCCUUUUAGCAAUAGUUACUUGAUGAACCUCUAACUUCUUCUCAAAAUCCUCUAAUAUCAAGUCAAUACAAUGGGUAGCACAUGGUGUCCAAAACAAACUCUUUCUUUUUUCCAUCAAUAAUUAUCCCGCUGCCUUAUAAUUUGCAGCAUUAUCGGUGACUACUUGGACAACAUUUUCCUCCCUAAUCCUCUCCACAAUGGCAUCUAACAUCUCAAAUACCUUAUCAGAAGUCUUGGACAUAUUAGAAGUAUCCACCAAUGAUAAAAAAAACGUCCCUUUAGGACUAUUAACCAAAAAGUUACAAAUACAACGUCUUUUUUUAUCCGUCCAAUCAUCAGACAUUAUUGAACAACCAGUUUUUUUCCAUUCUAGCUUGUACUCCUCAAGAAAAUUCAUUGUCUGAUCCAUUUCUUGCUUCAAAUACUUCUCUCUAAUAUCAUAGUAGGAUGGAGGCUUGAAACCUGACCCAUGCUUUGCAACUAAUUCAAGUGCCUUAAGAAACUCAGGGUUUUUUACACAAUUAAAUGGAAUUGCACUAGUGUAAAAAAACCUUGCAAUUUUUCGACAUGCUGCUUCUCUAAUAUCCUUUUUUAGCAAUUGAUUUAGGGUUGUUUGUGUACUUCCACUCCCACUAGCUACUUUCUUUCCUUUGUCCUUGGAGCUAAUUUCUUUCAUUUCAUCAUCAUCAUCCUCAUUUACACUAUAUUGAAGGGCCUUUCUUUUCUUUUCAGUUGUUUCUAGAUUUUUCACCAAAACACCUAAAAUGAUCUGUUUAACAUUUUCUGGUACUUGUUGACAUGGCUCAACAUCCUUACAAGUGCAAGCCAAAUGCUGUUUAAAACGAAAAAUACCUCCACUAAUAAUUUUUUGACAAUACUUGCACUAAACUUUUCUAAAAUUCUUAUUAAUAUCUAUCCCAUGUUGUCAUCCCACAUCAAGCCUAUUACCAGAAGAAUUUUUUCUAGAUGCCAUAAGUUCAACAAUUCAAGAAUCAAUUCAAAUCAGCCCUGUAAUCAAUCCAAACAUUUUAUAACAGGUUACAAAUUUGAUUUUAGUACACACUCAGCAGCUGAAGCAAUGCAGCAACAGAAUACUAAUUGAUUGAACAUAAUACAUAAUGCAAGAACAGUAUACCAAAUUAUGCAUUUAUAGCAUCUUUCUUAGCAAUUCACAUGAAUCACAUUGAAUAAUGUAAUACCAAGUAAACAAUAAAUAAAUGAAAGCAAUUAUAAAACAGAGUCACACACAUAUAUGCAACAUUGAAUCUAAAACAAAGUCACAUGCACACACGAUUAAAUUUAAAUCUAAAAUUCACAAGCAAACUCUCAACAAUAGACAUUAGACAGACUGACAGAGUCACAGAAACUUUGAAUCAAAAUAUUAAUCUUUAACAAUUAACAUCAUUAAACUGUAAAGAAACAGACAUGGUAAGAAACGGUUGGAGAGAAGCUUACCUAUGUUCUGAGCAGUGAGCACCAAGACUGAGCAGAUGCAGAUCAAUAUUGCAGUCAAGGUUGGAACCUGCAAAUUCAAUCAAAGAAGUACUAGUUAAUAUUAACAUCAAAGUAAGAAACGACAGGGAAAAAGAGACCCAGGUAGUUAUCAACAAAGAAGAGAGAACCAGUGAAUUUUUGUAGGAGAUGAAACAAGAAAAACAGAGUAACUUACCUAAUGAAGAAUGGAGAGACACCGUUGUUGUUGUGUGGACUCUGGUUCUCACGGUGAUUGCUGAAAAGGAUGUCGUCGAUGGUGGAAAAAUAAAAAAGAUGAGCAGCGAGGGUUGUUGUGGAGGUGGACGGUGAUUGAUUGUUGGCUGAGAGAAAGAGAUUAAGAGACUGCGUGGCUAAGGAUUUCGAUUUUAGGUAUUUUUUAUGUUCUGAUUCUUUGAUUUUUGAAUGUGAACGGUGAAUCCAAAGAGAAGACUGAUUGUUUCGGUGAAAAUGUAAAUUGCUUGUGAUCUGGAAAAGCCAAUAGACAAGCGACACCUGGCAGCUAAAUUGCAUCUUUAUUUUUUACGGGCAAACUCGUUCAAUGAGGUGUAAAAUCACGAUUUUACGUGAUUUUACUCGAUUUUGACCUGAUUUUACUCGAUUCCGAGUUUUAUAAACGAUUUAGCACGUAAAGCCUACAUUAACUCGUAAAAACAUAUAAUUUUACGAGUUGAAUCGCAAUUUUAAAAACCUUGGUGCCAAUCAAACUUUAUUAAUUACUUUUUUAUGCCUAACCUUUAAGGUAACAUGUCAAUCACGUCCUAGAAUAAUACCGUGCCCGACAAGUUUUAAUAACUGUGAUUCAAUCAACAAAUGAGGGACGGCAAAACCUUGUAGUCGCUUAGUGAUAUGAGUUAUUCAGUCAUCAAAAUAGAAUAAUAUGUUAAAUUAAUGAGAGGAUUUAAUAAAACAUUUCUUGACCGGCAAAGGAGUAAACUAUAUGUGUCCGCUAUCGACGGCUACCGAUCCAUUUCCAACCCUACGAUCCGCCAAUUAACAUUAAAGUAAUUGCAAAUCCUCUUAUUGGCCAUCCGCUUAAUCAUUAAUUAUUAGGUACAUAAACUGACAUAUGCGCUCCUUUAAAGUAUUGAUAGGCACGGUAUUAUUAACUAAUAUUCUAAAAGUGUGGGAAAGUGCCGUAGCAUUUCCCAUGACACUUGCUUUUCUUUUCUUUCUUUUCUUUUUUUUUUCUUUUUUGUUUGUUUAUUUUUUUUAUCUUUCUUUUCCCCGCAAUUUUUUUUUCUUUUCGGCUUUACAUAUAUAUUUUUUUCAAGAUUGUCUUUUUUUUUUGUUUGUUUUUUUUUUUCUUUCUUUUCCCCGCAAUUUUUUUUUCUUUUCGGCUUUACAUAUAUAUUUUUUUCAAGAUUGUCUUUUUUUUUUGUAUUCUUUUCUGUUUCAGUGUUCUUCAAAUUAUUUUUGUUGAUUUUUUAUAAUAUUGAAUUGAUUAAAAAUUUAGUCCUAUAAUUUUAUUUUUUAAGAUAUUAUAAUACUACAAUAUUUCUCUAUAUAAUUUUUUUUUUUUUCAAAAUGAUCAUUAACAAUUUUACUUUGUAGUUUUUUUUGUUUAAAACACUAUACAAUAUGGAUUGUAUUAUAAAUUACAAUAAUUUUUCUCCAUAUAAUAUUUUUUAAUUUUUUAAAUAAAUUUAAAAUAAUACACAAGCAUGUCAUGAGCCCGUGACACCCCGCGGCAUGGCAUCUAUUUCUAUAUUAAACCUCGAUGAAUUGAAUUUAUAUUUGGAAAGAACUAGCUACAUGUCCAUACUUCUCCAUCUUGCUUCUUAAUCAUUUUCUUCAAUAAGUCAAGCUUCUUUCUUUCAGCAAUGGCGCCACCGACUGAUAAUGAAGUUGUCCAUGAGUUUCGGUCCUUCAAGGUGUACAAAGACAGCCGUAUCGAAUUAGUCUGGCCGGAAUGCCCCAAAGUCCCACCAUCCACUGACCUGAUUACUGGGGUUCAGUCCAAAGAUGUGAUGAUCUUAACUGAACCCCAAGUGUCUGUCCGUAUUUUCUUGCCGAAACUCAAAGCCCCUGACCAAAAACUCCCUCUCUUACUUUUCAUGCAUG